rnacentral:tRNA from 1 species
GGGGCUAUGGUAUAAAGGUUAUUAUGCUUGAUUUCUAAUCAUCGAGAUACCAGUUCGAAUCUGGUUAGCUCCA